CUGCGAGAUCGUGUAACCGGUAACAGCCCACCUUGUACCGGUACACAUUGGACCCGACAGCAGGUUGAAGUCUGCUGCAAUUAGAAAGAAGUGGAGGACCUUUUUGCUAUUAUAGCACAUUAUAAAAUCACCCCAACACCCCUCCCACCUGUUCACAACAACCAAACACCUCUUCUCUCUCAUUUCCCUCUUUCUCUCACUAGAGAUCAUCUCCAGAAGCAAGAAGGAGAAAGAG
rnacentral:lncRNA from 1 species